UGGGUUAUACCCAAGUGGUAAGAUAACGAACUUUGACUCCGUUAUGCGUUGGUUCGAAUCCAGCUAACCCAGUCA
rnacentral:tRNA from 1 species